GCGUGCCUAAUACAUGCAAGUCGAACGAACGAAUAAGAGCUUGCUCUUAUAAGUUAGUGGCGCACGGGUGAGUAAUAUAUAGCUAAUCUGCCUCUUAGUAGAGGAUAACAGUCGGAAACGAUUGCUAAUACUCUAUACUUCUGCUUUACAUAAGUAAAGUAGAGAAAGUUUUUCGCUAAGAGAUGAGGCUAUACUGUAUCAGCUAGUUGGUAAGGUAACGGCUUACCAAGGCUAUGACGCAUAACUGGUCUGAGAGGAUGAUCAGUCACAUUGGAACUGAGACACGGUCCAAACUCCUACGGGAGGCAGCAGUAGGGAAUAUUGCGCAAUGGGGGAAACCCUGACGCAGCAACGCCGCGUGGAGGAUGACACUUUUCGGAGCGUAAACUCCUUUUAUCGGGAAAGAAUAAUGACGGUACCCGAUGAAUAAGCACCGGCUAACUCCGUGCCAGCAGCCGCGGUAAAAGGG
rnacentral:rRNA from 1 species